AUUGAACGCUGGCGGCAGGCCUAACACAUGCAAGUCGAACGAGUGGCGGACGGGUGAGUAAUGUCUGGGAAACUGCCUGAUGGAGAGGGAUAGCUACCGGAAACGGUAGCUAAUUCCGUCUUCCAUCGCAUGUGCCCAGGUGGGAUUAGCUAGUGGGUGGGGUAAAGGCACACCUAGGCGACGAUCCCUAGCUGGUCUGAGAGGAUGACCAGCCACACUGGAACUGAGACACGGUCCAGACGCCUACGGGAGGCAGCAGUGGGGAAUAUUGCACAAUGGGCGCAAGCCUGAUGCAGCCAUGCCGCGUGUAUGAAGAAGGCCUUCGGGUUGUAAAGUACUUUCAGCGGGGAGGCGUUACCCGCAGAAGAAGCACCGGCUAACUCCGUGCCAGCCGCCGCGGUAAUUC
rnacentral:rRNA from 1 species